AGCACGAGUGUUCCUUUGCCUUCCAUUCCUUCCAUUCCAGAUGUCUUGGCCAGGAGCAGCCUUACAGCACUUGGCCUGGCAGCUGAUUUCUUUUUGUCUGGAGAAAGAUAAUAAGAGAUAAUGGAUGCUAAACACUGCAUUUAAUGUCCCAACAGGAAGAAGACUAAGGGAGGAGCCUGGUGAGCCUGACCUGGGACCACAGAGGAUCUCAGAGAACAUCCAGCACCGCUGGAACUGAGCACCCAGGGCAGUGAGAUGGACUCUUCCCCACCUCAUGGGGUUGUGUUUCCUGCUCCUGGCUGUUGCAGCUCCCUGUCCAACAAGCAAAUAUUUUCCUGAAGGAAUUUCUACCUUAAAACGGUGGGAGCGAGAUACUUGUGUGGCAUCCUGAAUUCUGCAGCUUUCUCAGCAAAUGGGAGAGGUAGCAUCAGUCCUGAGGAGAAUAAAAUUUGCUGUGAAGCAGAAACAAUCCUACGCUGAAGUGCCACAUUGAAAUGUCAGAUGCAGAAACUGGAAAACCAACAACUGGCAUCCUUGGUAAUCCUGAAUUUCCCACCAGGAAUGAGGGCAUGAUCUCCCUCACAUUCCUACUGUGCAUUGUGGUUUGGGCAGGAAUGGUCUCUGUGUAUUCCUAUUGCUGGCAUUGGAUUAGUCAAGCUCUUAGGGAAUACAGACAAGCUUCAGAAGAAAAAAACCUCAACCAUGUUUGAAGACCAUCUACAAAUAGGAAGACCUCUAUGCCAGCAGCAUCUUCCUCUGUCCUGAUGUACAGCAACCAGCUGAAGCAACAGAGGUUGAUUUCCAUGAGACCUCAUGGUCCCAUAUUCACAAAUGGUCUUUUUUUCACAAAUGCACCUUCACCACAUCCACAUGUUCACCACGGACUGUGAUUGCCACAGUUGUCCAGCUCCAGGCCUUCAUGAGCAGCAUGAGCAGCACCCUGGAUCUCCCAUCCUCUGGUGGUGCUUGGCUGAGGACAGCAGCUAUCACAAGGUGUGUGGCUGACUCAGCAGCACAGCCUUAAACCUACUGAAUUGUCUCCAGCUGUGUACUCUGCUUUCUGGAGAUGUCUAUAGGCUUCGUCCUCAGCAAGUGCUUUGUGUUUUGCACUAUGCAUAGAUAGGCAAAUAUUUUUAUUCACAGAAAUAUGGAAUGGGUUGGGUUGGAAGAUCAUCUGACAAAAUAAAAAAAGGACUAAGAGUACUAAGAUGCCUAAC
rnacentral:lncRNA from 1 species